rnacentral:snRNA from 1 species
GUGCUUGCUUUGUAGCACAGAUACUGAAAUGGGAACGGUACAGAGAAGGUUAGCACAGCCUCGGCACAAGGAUGACACGCAAAUUCGUGAAGCGUUAAAAAAAAAA